UAAGACUUGGUAAUUACUAAUUAGUUUAGGAAAGAAUCACAUAUUUAAAAUUUUUUGAUAACGGAAUGAACUGUAAUUGACUAGAGAUUUGACAAGCUCUUUGACUUUUUUCUGAAGUGCUUGGCUCUGCUGUCUCCACCACCGCCGGAAGAAUGUCUAAAAGUGACAUAUCCACCAUGAAAUGCACUGUGUUUAUUCAUAUGCAUUUCAAAAAUAUGCAAUCAUAAUAUAAGUUACUCCAAGUAAACAGACAUGAGUAAAUGUGUUAAUGUGGAGAGAGAAAUAUUGCCAUUUCAACAUAGAUGAACUUGCAAUUCUUGUCAUCCAACAAAGCUGAAAUUACAGAAUUCAAUACGUUCUGAGCACAAGCACCCUAAUUAUUAAUUCAAAAAAUCAAUAAUAACCAGUCAAGUAACUAAUUCACACACACACACACACACACACAUAGAUAUAUGAAUAAUAUAGAAAAAAAAGUACCUGAAUGGAAUUAUUUGGCGCCAAGUAGUACUGAUCAACGGUUUUUAACCAGCCAACAUAAUCGUUGAAGGAGAAAGAACAAGCGAGUUUUUAAAUGAGUAACAUAUAUUCUAAUUAAGAAAAAUAAACAUUCUGAUUGUAAUACCCAAACAAUUAACAUCCCGAUUACAACCUAAACAACUAAAAGCAGUUUUGGAACUCAUAAACUACACAAUUAAUUGCAACUGUUGAGACCUACACAAUAUCUAAAACUGAAAAUCAAAUACUCAAUAUUGAAGAAUAAGGAAAGAGAUUCAGAUGCUUAUGAUUUAGGUUCAGCCGAAAAUCCAAUUGUGCUCUACACACGUAUACACACCUUCUUCCCCAAACGAUAACAUAAUCUAACCCAAUUAAUUUAUAAACACAAUCACUGAAUGUUGUCCCAAAUAAACAUGACUACAAAUUAACCGAUGCUACUGCAUACAUGAAAUUGAUUGGAUGUUCUUAUUAAUUUUAUGAGUUUGACAUUGAGCAUAUGAAAACUUCUAAUGUACUAUAACAGUUUGACAGAGAUGAAAUUGGGGAUAAACGAAUUCACAUUUAAACAUGACUGCAAAAACCUAGAUUUAACAAAAUUAAGCUUACCAGAUCGCGAUUGAAGAGUGAAUUAAUAGCGCUUAGAAGCAGAACAUAGAUGGGCGCUCCACGAAUUAGCGUCCAUGUUUGAAAUCGAAGCUCUUUUGGAUCAAAAUCGGCUAGGGUUCCAACAAAGUAGAAUUUGAUAUUUCAAGUUUUGGAUUAAACCUCCUCAAAGAUGAGAAAAAUUAUAGAUUUGAAACCCAAAUUGGUCUUGUUUCAUGCCUAACUCUUUUUCCAGACCACGCACACAACUCCUAAAUUAGGGACUUUGUUCCAAAAAAAAGAAGAGUUUGAUAACAUUUAAAAAGUGUUUUAGA
rnacentral:lncRNA from 1 species